rnacentral:rRNA from 1 species
UGGGAAGUCCUCGUGUUGCAUGCAUU